AACAGAUCAUUAUUAACAUUCUGUAUAUAAUUCAAUUUUAUUUACUCUCCCCUUUUUAUUAUUUUUAUUUUUAUUUUUAGCUGAAAAGACGUAAAGGCAGUCAGCCCAGUGGUGUUUCUGGAGAGGGAUUCCUUCAGAAAUGGAGAAGACAGAAAGCUGCGGAGGCAGAUAUUUGCAGCAGUCUAAAAUAUCAAGCUCAACAGCUCACUCAAGAGCCAACCCUCACAAACCUUCCUAAAAACUAAAAGAGCUAUUACUGAGUCUCAGGGAAUCUUGCCAUGAUCAGCUCUUCCCAGAAGAGAAGGAAGACCAAGGAAAUGAUUUGCUCUGGAUGAGAAAUGAAGAUGGCCAUCUUGUGCUCAAACAAACAGAAGUCCUCUGAUGAUCUCAUCAGCCAAAUGAGGGGUUUUGACCAAGUGAUGCUCUUGAAAGGAGUGAAAGAAGAGGAUGUGGUAAAUUCUCUUCAGAGAAAAAGCUUCUCAAAAGGUCUCAAAACAGCUUGAAGAAUGGUCUGGGAUCUUAGGACUGAGAAAUCCUCUGACUGAGAUAAGCUACACCACAUCAGUGCUGGAUAUCAACCACAAACUGUUUCCAGACACGAGAGAAGAAGAACACGAUGGGGAGAUGAAACCAGUUUAGAUGUGAUGAUGGGAAUCAUUAUUUUGUGGAACAGUAUCACAUGUCUUAUAUGUAUCACAUGAUCUGUAUCACAGUUGACUGAAUGGGACUGUGUGACUUUUAAGGACAUUUCAUCACUCAUCUGUGUGAACUGAUUUAUAUAUGAGGUUAAUGUAUUUUUGAUGAUAAUUAUUUUCAUUGAAUCUUAUUUGUCUUGAUGCUACUUUAUCAACUUUAUAGUCUAUGCUUCAAUAAAAUGAAAAUGGUGAAUAUUGUGUUCUGAAGAUUCUUG